UCAGUGACAGCAGAUUAUGUUUCCAGGCUGGUACCUGUCUGUUCAGCAAAGCUUCAGUUUUGAACUGGGAGAAGAAAUCCUGAAAAACAUAGCCCCGAGAAUGAUGCCUUGGAGACCUUCAGAACAGAACAUAGUGAGGUGGGAGAAGGGUAAAAAGAGCUCCUUUCAUUGCCCUGUGAAGAAUGGAGAGCAGGAGGCAAAGAAACUAAGAGAUACAGUAUAUAGCUGAUGGGAAAGUUUUCCUGAAAUGUCAGCCUGUAAUGUAUCUCAUUCUCUUUGUAGCUCACUAGGACUUUGCCUUCAAAUCUAUGUAUGCCCAAAGAACUAAAACACAAUCCAAAAUUGUCUAUGCAAAACAAAUUCUUCUUGAAAGUUUGUUUAAAUAACAAAGAAGUCUGAAGAGUCAACAAUAGGCACAGGAGUCAGUUUGCUGAACUGUAUGUUCAGUUUCAAAAGGGAGCAUUACUUUGCACCUCACAAUAGAAACACAAGUGAAGGACCUGGAGUCUCUUCAGACUACAGAAACCUAACACAUACCAGGCCCAGGGGACUGGGAGCAAACAGCACAGUCUGAAACUAUGUCAUGAGAGGGCUCAAGGCACAAUGUUGGCUGCCAGUUCUUUCCUAUAGAAGAACAAUUUGACAUGGAGAACACAAACAAACUUCUCACAGACUUUCCCACCUUCUCCUGCACUUCAAAUAAUGCAAGCUUUUCAUGUUGUUUACUCAGAAAAAUGUAGCCGAGAUCCAGCAGGUGGUUUUCCACAGCUUCACACAGGAGAGGUGUCGCAGCUCUGAGAACUAAAAGUGGAACGAUCUUGUUCUGUGGCAGCAGAGUGAUGUGUCUUCUGACUGAAGGAAACAUGGUGAUGAUCAGCAAUCCUGAUCCAAAGUAGCUCACACACACUUCUCCACACUUAGUACUUAUUAGUACACAAUUUGGCAGGUUUGGAUAAUUUCCUUUGCUCCCCUCUUCGGCCUCACCCUUUCCAUCUAAGACCACAAUUUUCAGGACAUUAGCUUGAAAGACUCUAUUGUAGACCUAACAUUUACAGCAACCCUUGUGGUGUAUCUAGACAAGACAGCCCUCCCUUCAGAAUCUGUAAUCUCUCACUUCAGACCUUACAUUUGAAGCCCUUGAUUCACUGUGGUUUAAAAAAAAAAAAAACUUAAGCAAAAUGAAUUCUUUGGCAAUAUGGAAACCCACAGGCUUGUGGGCCUUUUGAUUGGCUUAACUGAUGCCUCUGAAAAGAGAGGCCUUCUCCUGCCGUAAUAGGCAUGUACCUGAAAUAGCAGACAGGGUGGACAUUGACCAUCUCCUCACAUUUCAGGAGGAAUUUAACCAAAAGAAACAUCAUCCAAGAGACAUUGUUUUCAAAGGUGUAGAAUAAGUCACUGUAUCUCCUUGAAUACCACUGUUAAAAAGGGAAGGCAUCAGACAAGAAGAGCUUUCUUUUUGGGCCUUCUGGCUUCAGGAGAAACUGCUCCAAAGUGUCUGGGGCCAACACUUUGACAGUCAUGUCAAGACAGUCAUGGGAGAGUCAGAACCUAGUGGGAACAUUAAGGCCUUCCAUAUUUCCAGAUAAAUGGUUGCUUUACUGCAAUUUUACCUCGAAGUGCCUUCUUUGCUAAGCAGAAAUCAGAUUCCCCUGAAGUCAUUACGGGGAAUGCUAAAUGACUUCAUGUACAGAGGAUAUAGCAAGGGAAAAUCCAGUUCCUUUCUCAACGAGCAGGAGUGCAGAUUCCUUCUUGAAAUUUCUGCUGUUCUCCUUCAUGAACCCUUUCUACAGCAUAGGACAAACAAUGAACUUAUUGUUUCACCCUGGAAUGGUAUUUUCAAAAUUAGCUUGAGGUGGAUGUUGUGAAGAUCUAAAACACAAGUUUUAUAUUUCACAUAAAAUAAUAGAUACACGGGAGACAGUUUCAGAUGCCUUAGAGAUUUCAGUUCUCCAGUGCUAUGCCAACACGGAAAAAUUAAAGUCCAAAUAUCUACUACAUAGUAGGAUUUGUACCAUUCCUUAUGGGAAUACCCUGAUCUUUGUUUUUGUUUGUGCUCUUUGCAAAUGCUGACAACAGUCUCCAGAAAGUUGUUCAGUAAAACACUGUGCAGCUGAUGCAUCUUUCCUGUCUUGUUUUGCGGUAGAUAGUGGGAAAAAAACUCACACGUUAAUUAGGAAAUGUAUCUGAGAAGGUCAAGAUAAUAUCAACAACUGAAAAAAGUGACAUCUUUUAAGAACAUAGCAUAUGACAAAGAAGAAUGAUUCAAACUAAGCUGAUUAGUAACUGUUACGGUAAAUCACAGUGACUUCCAAUAGCAAAGAAAACAAGCAUUCAGGGCAUUCAGCAACGAACUUAAAUGAGAUGCAGUUACAGCGAGCCUCCUCUUCUUAUUCCCUAGUUUAGAUACAGCCCCAGUGGAUUUGCUGACCAUUAGGCAAGCAGCCAAAUGAGUCCUAUUUAUGUCCUUAUUACCACUCACAGAGAGUAAACUUUCCACCAUAACUAAUUUUAAAAGAGCACUCUUUCCUAGGUUCCUUUCAGGAACAGUGUGCUUUAAAUAAGGUAGAGGAGUUUCAAAGUAAUUUUUAAACCAUUUAUGUCAUUACCAUUAAAGGUAGAAAGUCUACCUUUAACCAAAAUUUAAAUGACUAUUUUUAUAACUUAAGGUACAUAUCUUCUCUAUCUUUUCUAAUUUAAUUUUGAAAUUAAUUCACCUUUUAAAAAAAAAAAGGAACUAAUGGAACUAAUGGAUCUAAUUUAAUGAAAAGAUGGUGAAUCUCUUGGAUCUCAGACUGCAUACACGGUACUUUGAGAAGUAUGGCAGAGAAGAAAGUGUGCCAUUUGUGCCAUGUUAGUGAUCAGUACCUGCUCACAAAGAGUCCAAUGAGCACUAGGACAAGGACAAGGAAGGGACAAAUAGAGCUUGGCUGUGAGCAGCUGGGUGGAAGGAGAGAUGACAGCAUCAGUGGGAAGAAGGAAGAGGGAUGGAAGGAAGGAAGAUAAAGCAAGACCUUCCCUGUUUGUAGACAGCAAGAUGUUAGAGCAAUUCAGUACUUAGGUUGUUUUAGUUGAAGUUGGACCAGCUAAGCUAUUACCAUUCCUGUUUUCUGUGCAGUUUAAUCAUCUUCUGUGUUUUCAUGUAGAAACAAGACAAACCAGAAUGUGUUAAUUAGAAAACACGUCUGAGAAAGAUAAGAUAAUGCGAACAACAAAAAAGUGACAUUUACUGAGACCAUCACUCAUCUCUCUGCUCCUCCCUCUCUCCUGCCAUGUACACUUAUGAGUGAGGUAAUCUUUCCUCAUAUAUUAGCUGGCAUAAUUUGCUUGUAUAGUUGUUUCUUUAGGUAGCUCAGUUCUUCUCCUUAUAGCAUAGUACUACUUUCAGAGCUUAUUUUUGGAAUAACAAAUUAAAAAAAAAAAAAAAAAUCUGUUAGAGUGUCUUAAAUAGUGAACUGAAAAGCAGAAGACUGGUUAAUAAAGCAAACAAGGCAAGUAUUGUAUAAUAUUACUAAAGAUCAGCAAAUACAGUAUGGGAAGAGAAGAGGAAAUAACCAAGUAAACCACAAGACUAUUAAACAAAUGUUGAUAGUAUACAGGGUUUAUAAAACACAGCAUAGGAAGGAAUAAUUAACACAUCAAGGAAAAUGUAUAUAUUUUUUUUUUAAAAAAAGUGAAGAGUAAGAAAAAUCCUGUUAUGGGAAGCAGACUGUAUGAGACCUAACUAGCUGCCUUUUUUCAAACAGAUACAAAACAGCUCUUUAUUUUUCUACUUUAAA